GACGAACGCUGGCGGCGUGCUUAACACAUGCAAGUCGAACGGAAAGGCCCUGCUUUUGUGGGGUGCUCGAGUGGCGAACGGGUGAGUAACACGUGAGUAACCUGCCCUUGACUUUGGGAUAACUUCAGGAAACUGGGGCUAAUACCGGAUAGGAGCUCCUGCUGCAUGGUGGGGGUUGGAAAGUUCCGGCGGUUGGGGAUGGACUCGCGGCUUAUCAGCUUUUUGGUGGGGUAGUGGCUUACCAAGGCUUUGACGGGUAGCCGGCCUGAGAGGGUGACCGGCCACAUUGGGACUGAGAUACGGCCCAGACUCCUACGGGAGGCAGCAGUGGGGAAUAUUGCACAAUGGGCGGAAGCCUGAUGCAGCAACGCCGCGUGCGGGAUGACGGCCUUCGGGUUGUAAACCGCUUUCGCCUGUGACGAAGCGUGAGUGACGGUAAUGGGUAAAGAAGCACCGGCUAACUACGUG
rnacentral:rRNA from 1 species